AUUGAACGCUAGCGGGAUGCUUUACAAAUGCAAGUCGAACGAGUGGCGGACGGGUGAGUAAUAUAUCGGAACGUGCCCAGUAGCGGGGGAUAACUACUCGAAAGAGUGGCUAAUACCGCAUAAUAUUGGAGAGGCCGAUAUCGGAUUAGAUAGUUGGUGGGGUAAAGGCUAACCACGGCAACGAUCCGUAGCUGGUUUUAGAGGACGACAAGCAACACUGGGACUUAGACACGGCCCAGACUCCUACGUGAGGCAGCAGUGGUGAAUUGUGGACAAUGGGUGAAACCCUGAUCCAGCCAUCCCGCGUGUAUGAGAAGGCCUUCGGGUUGUAAAGUACUUUUGGCAGAGAAGCGGUAUCUGCAGAAUAAGCACCGGCUAACUACGUGCCAGCAGCCGCGGUAAUUC
rnacentral:rRNA from 1 species